UACGAAGGGGGCUAGCGUUGUUCGGAAUUACUGGGCGUAAAGCGCACGUAGGCGGAUUUGCCAGUCAGGGGUGAAAUCCCGGGGCUCAACCUCGGAACUGCCUCUGAUACAGCAAGUCUUGAGUCCGGAAGAGGUGGGUGGAGUUCCUAGUGUAGAGGUGAAAUUCGUAGAUAUUAGGAAGAACACCAGUGGCGAAGGCGGCCCACUGGUCCGGUACUGACGCUGAGGUGCGAAAGCGUGGGGAGCAAACAGG
rnacentral:rRNA from 1 species